ensembl:antisense Gm1992 predicted gene 1992
UGAAAAUGGAUAGCAGUUCCCCUUAAUCUUCUUGUACGUAUGGGAGGAAAGAGAAGAGGUGGAGAUAUGCCCGUGUGCAGUGAGAUCUGUUGGAUUCUAACGGCUUUGCCUGGAUGGCAUUUGAAAUCUCCAACUCAGACACACCAGAUUGCACCCAUCAUCCAAGAUGAAGACUCCUAAGCUUGAUAAAUUCCACUGACAAAACAAACCAACAAAGCAAAUAAACUGAUAUGAUCAAAUGAUUACUCCCA